AUCCAAUAGUUGCUUGGGAUGCGAAAGUUCCAUUCUAUUAUGAAAUCAUAGGAUUUUCAAAUCAUUUAGGACAUUUAAGCAUCAUCUCACAAACAUGAAGUAUAAAUGAACAAAGAAACAAACCAUCAGACAAUUAAGUAAGAUGCAUCACAAAAAUUCAACUUAAAAAAAAGGGACAGGUUGACGAUAACAGACUAACCUUGUGCAACGCAAGAUCAAGCAAAAGCAACUCAUCAAUCUUUUUUAACUCAGAAUCAGCACUGAAAGCACCUCCUGUAUACAUCUCAGUUGAGGUGGGUAGGAUUUGAACAAGUAAUUUUAGAUGCUCAAACCUGUUUUGUACAUGUUUAGGGCAAGAAAGAUUGAUAGAAAAAAUAUAAGCGCAAAAUAUUGAAGAAGGGUGUUGAUUUACUUUUGUUUGUAUUCGGAGAGCUGUGCAACAUCCGGAUUGAAAAAAACAAACGGUUGAUCGUAUGUUUCCGAGAACAGACUUUCCUAUGGAUAAAAUAUAACAAUCAACAAAUUGAAAUUUGAAGCAGCUAAUAAAGUAUGUCGGAGUAUAACCUUGGUAUUGUUUUACUUUGAGGGCAACCAAAGCAACGAAGAUGGGUGGCAAAAGUGAUUACAUUCCACUAUCCUCAAAACUUAUUGCAGUUUCUCGCUAUAAGGUGAUCCUUAUUGUUUCUCCUUUGUAAUUAAUAAAAAAAGGCAAUAGUUUUCUAUAUUUCAUAAAUACGGUGAGGUGAAAAUUGCAAUCAUAAUUUAACAUAAGAACAAUUUACCUGAUAUUUUGGAGGUUAAGAUUUCUUUUCUUCGUAAUUCUUGUGCUCUAGAUAGUGACUUCUUCACUCAAUUGUAUAGCCGUCAAGCAAACAAAUACAUCUACAAAUGAUGUUUAAUAGCGGGAAUGAGUAUACACUCAGGUAAACAAAAAACUUAAAAUAAUCAUCUCAGAUUUUGCAGUGGCACUUAAAACUAAAUUUGUUACCUGUAAGCUCGGCAUCCCUGUCAAUUCUCUUAUGAAGCUUAAAUAACUCAAUUAAAUUGAACCACUGCAAUGAGAUUUCUUGGCUUGUUUUGUCAACAUUAAUGAUUGUAGAUUUCUUAUUCAAUUCAACUAUGGCAAUAUGAGGGACAACCUUUCUUGAUAUCAUGUGGUAGAUCCAAUCGAACAACCCCAAAAAGUGUUGUGAAACUUUUUCAUUCAACGAAACUUAUUCAUUUGGCGAAUUACUAUGAUUUUCAGGCAAAUACAGCGUGGACCACCAACUUGUUUCGAUUUGCACCUUUACCAUAAACAGGUAAACCCAUCCUUAUUUCUUCUAUUUUUAGUGUUCUCGAUGCACGAGGUCCUGGAGCAGUUUCUGAAUAUGCCAAUGCUGUCCCUCGAAGUUGUUCACCUUUUCGAGUCUUAACCAGUUUUCUUAAUUUUUUUUACCAAAACUCUUAUUAGAAUUUGUUGUUCUUUUCGAUCAAUUUCUUUCACCAUUUUAUUUACCUUGAAUCAUAUAUUAAAUAUAGCAUAAAUAUUUAUGUUUUAAAAAAAAAUCCUUUUUAGCAUGUAGGUUGAAGAGCAACACUGUCAAAAAUCUUAAAAACUCAAAUUAAUAAAUAAAAAAAUACAUAAAAGUUUGCGAAAGUCAGAUAAUUAAUAAAGAAAAUGUAACCAAAAACCAUUUUGAUAGUUUUUUAGAUCAAAUUUGGAAGUGGUAGUUGACAAAGAAAAUACAUAGAUUAAUUUUUUGUGGAUUAAUAAUACCUACAGGUUGAAUGUAAAUAUUCCUGAUUUUUUCUGAAUAUGUAAGUUGAGUUCAUGUAUUGUUAAAAGGCUAUUCAUUUUCUUAAACAUGUAAGUUGCAAUUUUUUCUGAAAUAUUUCUUGUUCGUUGAGAGUGUACUUAUCAACAACACUCAUUAAAGCAUUUCGGGGAGGAUGAGAGAGUCUACUCCCAGAAAAACCUAAUGAAAACACCAACCAACCAAAGCAACUGACCUUUGAACAACAAUUUUAAAAAUUGAAAACAUAAAAAAGAAAGAAGGCAACUGACAAAAAAAAAUGUAAAAUGUCUAACAACAUUUUAUAAAAAAAAUAAAAAAAUAAAGAAUACUUCCCAUUUAAGCAGCUAAUAAGGACCAAAAAGUCCAUAUGGAAGUUUUUGGAACCCAGCACGCCUAAUUUGGAGUAAUCCUAUUCUCAAAGCAGCAACUUUAGCACACAUGAGGGUGUUCUGCUUGCUUAGCGCAAGCAACAACCAUUAGGAUCAAAUAUUCGCAGUUUAGGUACCACUUAGAGUAGAUAUAUAGUUAACUAUACAAUUGUGACCUUUGCUCAAGGUUAAGCUUAACUUUAGGUGAUGUAACCACUUUCACUUACCUUUAAUCAAAUCCAACA
rnacentral:lncRNA from 1 species